UGGGGAAUUUUGGACAAUGGGCGAAAGCCUGAUCCAGCAAUGCCGCGUGUGUGAAGAAGGCCUUCGGGUUGUAAAGCACUUUUGUCCGGAAAGAAAUCCUUGGGCUCUAAUACAGUCGGGGGAUGACGGUACCGGAAGAAUAAGCACCGGCUAACUACGUGCCAGCAGCCGCGGUAAUACGUAGGGUGCAAGCGUUAAUCGGAAUUACUGGGCGUAAAGCGUGCGCAGGCGGUUUGCUAAGACCCGAUGUGAAAUCCCCGGGCUCAACCUGGGAACUGCAUUGGGUGACUGGCAGGCUAGAGUAUGGCAGAGGGGGGUAGAAUUCCACGUGUAGCAGUGAAAUGCGUAGAGAUGUGGAGGAAUACCGAUGGCGAAGGCAGCCCCCUGGGCCAAUACUGACGCUCAUGCACGAAAGCGUGGGGAGCAAACAGGAUUAGAUACCCUGGUGGGUCCACGCCCUAAAACGAUGUCAACUAGUUGUU
rnacentral:rRNA from 1 species